AGAUACUCGAGCGGCGGACGGCAGAGUAACGCGUAGGAACAUACCCCAAACUGAGGGAUAACUGCUCGAAAGAGUAGCUAAUACCGCAUGUGGUCUUCGGAUUAAAGCUUCGGCGGUUUGGGAAUGGCCUGCGUCCGAUUAGCUAGUUGGUGAGGUAAUGGCUCACCAAGUCUACGAUCGUUAACUGGUCUGAGAGGAUGAUCAGUCAGACUGGAACUGAGAUACGGUCCAGACUCC
rnacentral:rRNA from 1 species